rnacentral:rRNA from 1 species
UGGUGGAGUGAUUUGUCUGGUUAAUUCCGAUAACGAACGAGACCUUAACCUGCUAAAUAGUGCGGGCGACUUGCGUCGCUACGUUCUUCUUAGAGGGACUGACUACGAUUAGUGGUCGGAAGUUUGAGGCAAUAACA